CCCUCACUUUGCCCUGUCUUAACACUUCGUUCUCCAGUCUCUGGGAUGAGGUUUUGCCAUAUUGCCCGUGGCCUGUGCACUCUAGCUCUCGGAAUGCCCUAUUUGCACCGUAAAGAGGAAUUCGGCGGCUCUGCUGUCUUGAUGUAACUCUAGCACAGUGUUCAUUGAGGAAGUGUCUUCUAGAGGGUCAACAGAAGCAAAAGCAAAUGCAGCAAGCAAAGAAACACAAAAUAACUUGGAAACUUGAAUAAAUUAUAAGCUAAAAGAUUUCAGCAUAAACUAAAAAAAGCUGCAUUUUUAAAUACCUGUUUGUGUUUGCUCUUCCUCGGAGGUAAUGGGUGUCAUUGUCA